GAUGAACGCUGGCGGCGUGCCUAAUACAUGCAAGUCGAGCGAACAGACGAGGAGCUUGCUCCUCUGACGUUAGCGGCGGACGGGUGAGUAACACGUGGAUAACCUACCUAUAAGACUGGGAUAACUUCGGGAAACCGGAGCUAAUACCGGAUAAUAUAUUGAACCGCAUGGUUCAAUAGUGAAAGACGGUUUUGCUGUCACUUAUAGAUGGAUCCGCGCCGCAUUAGCUAGUUGGUAAGGUAACGGCUUACCAAGGCAACGAUGCGUAGCCGAUCUGAAAGAGUGAUCGGCCACACUGGAACUGAGACACGGUCCAGACUCCUACGGGAGGCAGCAGUAGGGAAUCUUCCGCAAUAGGCGAAAGCCUGACGGAGCAACGCCGCGUAAGUGAUGAAGGUCUUCGGAUCGUAAAACUCUGUUAUUAGGGAAGAACAAAUGUGUAAGUAACUAUGCACGUCUUGACGGUACCUAAUCAGAAAGCCACGGCUAACUACGUG
rnacentral:rRNA from 1 species